rnacentral:misc_RNA from 1 species
GAAAUGCGAUAAGUAAUGUGAAUUGCAGAAUUCCGUGAAUCAUCGAAUCUUUGAACGCACAUUGCGCCCUCUGGCAUUCCGGGGGGCAUGUCUGUCCGAGCGUCAUUACGCACCCUCAAGCCCGGCUUGUGUGAUGGGCCCCGGCGUCUCGUUCGCGAGACGGGCCCGAAAGGCAGCGGCGGCGUCGACCCGAUGAGGCCGAGCGUAUGGGGACUUCUGUCACACGUUCGCGGUGCGGACCGGCGCCUGCUUGACUUUUCUGAUUAUCCAGGUUGACCUCGGAUCAGGUAGGGAUACCCGCUGAACUUAAGC